CGCGCAGGCGGAUUGGCAAGUCAGAGGUGAAAUCCUGCGGCUUAACUGCAGAACUGCCUUUGAUACUGCCGGUCUUGAGUAUGGAAGAGAGAAGCGGAAUUCCAGGUGUAGUGGUGAAAUACGUAGAUAUCUGGAAGAACAUCAGUUGCGAAGGCGGCUUCUUGGUCCAUUACUGACGCUCAGGCGCGAAAGCGUGGGUAGCAAACA
rnacentral:rRNA from 1 species